UACAGAGGCCCCAAGCGUUAGGCGGAAUCACUGGGCUUAAAGCGUGUGUAGGCGGACUUCUAAGUACCUUGUGAAAUCCCACGGCUUAACCGUGGAACUGCUUGGUAUACUGGUCGUCUUGAGCCACUUAGGGGUUACCGGAACAAAUGGUGGAGCGGUGAAAUGCGUAGAUAUCCGGAGGAACACCGGUGGCGAAGGCGGCUUCCUGGACCGACACUGACGCUGAGGCGCGAAAGCUAGGGGAGCAAACAGG
rnacentral:rRNA from 1 species